rnacentral:rRNA from 1 species
GGGUGCGAUCAUACCAGCACUAAUGCACCGGAUCCCAUCAGAACUCCGCAGUUAAGCGUGCUUGGGCGAGAGUAGUACUGGGAUGGGUGACCUCCUGGAAAGUCCUCGUGUUGCACCCC